AAAUGAAUGCUGAAAUUGAUUUUCUUAGCUGCUUAUUGUUUCUUCCUUUGAUAACCCAUACAUUUUAUCCUUUUUAAUUUCUUGUUGGUCAUCUACUUUGUCAGGAAAGAUUGGAAAGCUUAUUGUGUGGCAAUAAUCAUAUAUUUAUAUUCGCUCAACAUUGUGUACAUGUUGAAUCACUGAUUAAGAGAGGGAUCUUAGAGAUUAAUUGAUGUGUUGGAGAGGAAUGUUUUAAUUACCUAUUGAUGUGAAUACUCUGGUGAUUUCAUUACAGUAUUUAUAACAGUAUAAUGACGAAUAAUGGAAUUCAUUGAGGAGCACCACAAAGACAGUGCAAACCAAAUGCAGAUAAGAAUGUGUAAAAGAUAAUCAUGUUGGCUUAGCAGCCACAGACAAUUCAGAAAUUUCGUUGUAGAAGGAAAGAGUACGAAGUUAAGAAUGAUAGUAAUAAACACUAAACAUAACAUAUAAUGCAGAAAUUUGUGCAAGUGAGAAAGGGAAAA
rnacentral:misc_RNA from 1 species